UCUGAGAGGAUGACCAGCCACACUGGAACUGAGACACGGUCCAGACUCCUACGGGAGGCAGCAGUGGGGAAUAUUGCACAAUGGGCGCAAGCCUGAUGCAGCCAUGCCGCGUGUGUGAAGAAGGCCUUCGGGUUGUAAAGCACUUUCAGCGAGGAGGAAGGUGGUGAGCUUAAUACGCUCAUCAAUUGACGUUACUCGCAGAAGAAGCACCGGCUAACUCCGUGCCAGCAGCCGCGGUAAUACGGAGGGUGCAAGCGUUAAUCGGAAUUACUGGGCGUAAAGCGCACGCAGGCGGUUUGUUAAGUCAGAUGUGAAAUCCCCGGGCUCAACCUGGGAACUGCAUUUGAAACUGGCAAGCUAGAGUCUCGUAGAGGGGGGUGGAAUUCCUAGGUGUAGCGGUGUAAAUGCGUAGAGAUCUGGAGGAAUACCGGUGGCGAAGGCGGCCCCCUGGACGAAGACUGACGCUCAGGUGCG
rnacentral:rRNA from 1 species